AACGAACGCUGGCGGCAUGCCUAAUACAUGCAAGUCGAGCGAACAGAUGAAGUGCUUGCACUUCUGACGUUAGCGGCGAACGGGUGAGUAACACGUAAGGAAUCUACCUAUAAGCGGGGGAUAACAUUCGGAAACGGGUGCUAAUACCGCAUAAUAUCUUCUUCCGCAUGGAAGAAGAUUGAAAGACGGCUCUGCUGUCACUUAUAGAUGACCUUGCGGUGCAUUCGUUAGUUGGUGGGGUAAUGGCCUACCAAGACGAUGAUGCAUAGCCGGCAUGAGAGGGUGGUCGACCCGAUUGGGACUGAGACACUGCCCAAACUCCUACGGGAGGCAGCAGUAGGGAAUCAUCCGCAGUGGGCGAAAGCCUGACGGAGCAAUGCCGCGUGAGUGAAGAAGGCCUUCGGGUCGUAAAACUCCGUUAUAAGAGAAGAACAAAUUGUAGAGUAACUGCUACAGUCUUGACGGUAUCUUAUCAGAAAGCCACGGCUAACUACGUGCCAGCAGCCGCAGUAA
rnacentral:rRNA from 1 species